rnacentral:rRNA from 1 species
GGGGAAUUUUCCGCAAUGGGCGCAAGCCUGACGGAGCAACGCCGCGUGCAGGAGGACGCUUUUCGGAGUGUAAACUGCUUUUCUGUGGGACGAGAAUGGACGGUACCACAGGAAGAAGCCCCGGCUAACUACGUGCCAGCAGCCGCGGUAAUACGUAGGGGGCGAGCGUUGUCCGGAGUUACUGGGCGUAAAGGGCAUGCAGGCGGUCGGACGCGUUUUGUGUGACAGCGGGUGGCUUAACUACCCGAGUAUACAAGAGACGGUUUGACUUGAGGACUCGAGAGGGACACGGAAUUCCGGGUGGAGUGGUGAAAUGCGUAGAGAUCCGGAGGAACACCGAAGGCGAAGGCAGUGUCCUGGCGAGUAACUGACGCUGAGGUGCGAAAGCUAGGGGAGCGAAAGGGAUUAGAUACCCCUGUAGUC